AACGAACACUAGUGGUAUGCUUAACACAUGCAAGUCGAACGAUGAUUUUUGUAUUCGUACAAAAUGAAGAGUGGCAAACGGGUGAGUAACACGUAAGAAUCUACCUAUCAGUGGGGGAUAACUAUGGGAAACCAUAGAUAAUACCGCAUACGCUCCGUAAGGAGGAAAGAUUUAUCGCUGAUAGAUGAGCUUGCGCCAGAUUAGGUAGUUGGUAGGGUAAAGGCCUACCAAGCCGAAGAUCUGUAGCUGGUCUGAGAGGAUGAUCAGCCACACUGGGACUGAGAUACGGCCCAG
rnacentral:rRNA from 1 species